rnacentral:rRNA from 1 species
UACGAAGGGGGCUAGCGUUGCUCGGAAUCACUGGGCGUAAAGAGCACGUAGGCGGCUUGUUAAGUGUGAAGUGAAAUCUCCAGGGCUCAACCCGGAAACCGCUUCGCAUACUGGCAAGCUAGAGGAAUGCAGAGGUAAGUGGAAUUCCUGGUGUAGCGGUGAAAUGCAUAGAUAUCAGGAGGAACACCCAUGGCGAAGGCAGCUUACUGGGCAUUAUCUGACGCUGAGGUGCGAAAGCGUGGGGAGCAAACAGG